UACGGGGGGGGGCAAGCGUUGUUCGGAAUUACUGGGCGUAAAGGGCUCGUAGGUGGCCAACUAAGUCAGACGUGAAAUCCCUCGGCUUAACCGGGGAACUGCGUCUGAUACUGGAUGGCUUGAGUUCGGGAGAGGGAUGCGGAAUUCCAGGUGUAGCGGUGAAAUGCGCAGAUAUCAGGAGGAACACCAGCGGCGAAGGCGGCGCUCUGGGCCGGAACUGACGCUGAGGAGCGAAAGCGUGGGUAGCAAACAGG
rnacentral:rRNA from 1 species